GUGCCUUUAGCUCAAUUGGAUAGAGCGUCUGACUACGGAUCAGAAGGUUGGGGGUUCAAGUCCUCUAAGGCACGCCA
rnacentral:tRNA from 1 species